GCAUCCUACUCUUGCGGGAAAGAUUACAGGCAUGCUGCCGGAGAUUGAUAACUCUGAACUACUGCACAUGCUCGAGUCUCCAGAGUCCCUGCACUCCAAGGUUGAAGAGGCUGUAGCGGUGCUUCAGGCUCAUCAAGCCAAGGAACUGUCGGCAAAGUGAGGGAGCUUGUAAGGCAGGCAUGCUCACUGAAGGUCUGUGAGAGUUGUUCCAGAGAACGAGGGAAAAGAAAACGGCACUUCAGAGUCAUGCUAUUUAAUGCAUGGUUCGCACACUGCAAAUGUCCUUUUGCUCUCCACAGUGUUAAGUUUGUUCUGAUUUUGUUUAUU